CCUUGCUAUAUCACAGUUCACUUAUUGCGACUUCACUGUAUUGCCAGUUUAAAAACCCACAAUACUUCACUGUAUGCUUCACUGGAAGGCUACAGCCAGAUUAUAUUACCUAUCUUCAGGCUUUUGCGAUGGAUGCCUUGGUUAUGAGAAAGAUGUCCGACUGUCAUUCUGCAGGGACACCCAUUCUAGUAACACUCUGCCAAGUCAGAAGCAUCUUGUCUAGAAACAUCUCAACAAGCUUUGUUACAUUUUGUGUAGUAUUUAAACAUUCUAUUAUAUAAACUCUGGUGGAUAAAAAGGCAAACAUCAGAACCUGAUAUAAACUUAUUGGGUAGUAGCUUUUGAGGUAACCAUCAAACUAAAAUAUUUGUCAUAAAACUUCUUAUAGACUAACUAGAGACAAAUCAUGGUCUCUAAGAAGUUUCUUAGAAGAAAUCUUGAAGAAACAGACACCAAAUACUAUUAACAUUUUCCUUUUUUACAC